GACGAACGCUGGCGGCGUGGAUUAGGCAUGCAAGUCGAACGGUAUCAUCCUUUCGGGGGUGAGAGAGUGGCGAACUGGUGAGUAACACGUAGGUUAUCUACCCUCAAGACGGGGACAACCCAGGGAAACUUGGGCUAAUACCGGAUGUGAGCAACUUUUAGUUGUUUGAAAGGUGGCGUAAGCUGUCGCUUGGGGAUGAGCCUGCGUCCUAUUAGUUAGUUGGUGAGGUAACGGCUCACCUAGGCAAUGAUAGGUAGGCGGCCUUAACGGGUGGUCGGCCCACACUGGGAUUGAGAUACGGCCCAGACUCCUACGGGAGGCAGCAGUCGAGAAUAGUCUACAAUGGUCGGAAGACUGAUAGUGCGACGCCGCGUGAACGAUGAAUCCCUUCGGGGUGUAAAGUUCUUUUAUAUGUGAGCAGUGCUUCUUAUAUUAACAGUAUGGGGAGAGAGAUAUUAGCAUAUGAAUAAGCAACGGCUAACUCCGUGCCAGCAGCCGCGGUAAUA
rnacentral:rRNA from 1 species